rnacentral:rRNA from 1 species
UGGGGAAUUUUGGACAAUGGGGGCAACCCUGAUCCAGCAAUGCCGCGUGUGUGAAGAAGGCCUUCGGGUUGUAAAGCACUUUUGUCCGGAAAGAAAUCGCGCUGGUUAAUACCUGGCGUGGAUGACGGUACCGGAAGAAUAAGCACCGGCUAACUACGUGCCAGCAGCCGCGGUAAUACGUAGGGUGCGAGCGUUAAUCGGAAUUACUGGGCGUAAAGCGUGCGCAGGCGGUUUUGUAAGACAGGCGUGAAAUCCCCGGGCUUAACCUGGGAAUUGCGCUUGUGACUGCAAGGCUAGAGUGCGUCAGAGGGGGGUAGAAUUCCACGUGUAGCAGUGAAAUGCGUAGAGAUGUGGAGGAAUACCGAUGGCGAAGGUAGCCCCCUGGGACGUGACUGACGCUCAUGCACGAAAGCGUGGGGAGCAAACAGGAUUAGAUACCCUGGUAGUCCACGCCCUAAACGAUGUCAACUAGUUGUUGGGGAUUCAUUUUCUCAGUAACGUAGCUAACGCGUGAAGUUGACCGCCUGGGGAGUACGGUCGCAAGAUUA